UGGUCAGGGAUGACUAGCCCACUGCGCAAUCUGAGUUCAAUUGAACGAUAAGGAAGACACAGUGCUGCUUAAUAGUCUGAGACCA
ensembl:scaRNA